rnacentral:lncRNA from 1 species
UUUCACCUAAGGUAAAUCAUUUAUUUAACUUUUUUGAUUAAUAACAACGAAGUGGGUCCUUGCAGAACUGUGAAAACAUAUCCCCACCAAGUAGGGACAGGGUGCCCACGGAUUGACUUUGAAUUGGACAAAUCUAAUUUUAAUUUCAAAUCAACCCGGGGAGCGGGUGUAAUAGCAAAUCCUAAUUAGACAAGUUGCAGAGUCUCCAUCCCUUUCCAGCAAAGAUAAUGAAGAACAAAAUCAAUUUGAAGAAAAAGAACAUUUCUCUGUUCAUAUGAUGAGUGAUGCUUUCAGUGGCUGUGCCUGUGGGACUUGAUCGACAGAGGAGCGCUUCAGCCUUCAUGAUCUGCAUUGCUAGGAAGCAAGAAAAAUAUAUUAAAAAAAAAAUGCAUUUCAAAACUACACGAAUAAAAUAUGAAUAUAAAUAUAGGAGCAUUCUUAAAUAUGAUUAGAUCCAACGGAAUUAAAAUUGUGCAUUACAAAUUAAAAAAAAAAAUAGUUGACUUGUAAAAUUGUGUUGCCCAAAACAGAAAAUGGGAUGUCCCACAUGGAAUUUUACAAGAAGAUGAUGAAUCAUAAAGAGGCAAAAAUGGUUGGACAAAAGAAAGAAGGAUGUUUCUUGAUGUCCUGUCAAAUUGUAAAGGUAAAUCUGUUUCUGUUUAUUGAUUGGAGAAGGAAGGCCAACAGCCUACUCAUGCAUCAAAUUGCAAGUCAAAGAAAGUGUUCCAAAUAAUAAAUCUAAUUAUGUGUUCAAACUAACUUUUUGGUUUUGCCUCCUAAUUCCUAUUACUCUUCUAUACUAAAUUAACAUUACUUUUUGCUAACUACAUCUUCCCAAUUUGGCAUUUUCUUUCUUGUUUGACCUUUUCCUACUUGGUUGCAAUUUCUGAAUUUUCGCAAAUUCGUUUUCAAAUGUUUUAGAAUUGCCAAAAGCGUAAACUUGUUUUCUUAAGUUGAUUGUGACAAGGUUAGGAUUAAGCCCAUGUGUCUCCAUUGGCUAAGAAAAGUCGAGUCUUUAAAGAUUUAAAAUGUGCUGCAGAACUCACUGUGCAAAGGCUUCCGUCCAUCGUACAUUUCAGUUGCACACUUGUGUUUAAUGUUGCUGGCCAGUACAAGAAGAACGCUGCCAGAUAUCUAGGCUAGACACUUGGUGCAAGAACUUGAAUUGGGCUUUUUCAUAACGCAUUCUGUGCCGACCCAUUUCACAUUUUCCCAGAAGAGGGCCCUCG